GGAGGGGUACCCGAGUGGUCAAAGGGAGCAGACUGUAAAUCUGCCGGCGCAGCCUUCGAAGGUUCGAAUCCUUCUCCCUCCACCA
rnacentral:tRNA from 1 species